UUGUUUUCACUUGAAUGAGACAGGGUGGUGUUUGUUCAAUCAACCCAACACACAGAUGACACACAAACAUCGGGUGGAUAACUACUUGACCAUGCCAAGUAAAACAUUCGGUGGCUGUUACACAACACUUACUACGUAGAGAGUGUGUCUUGGAUACACUAGUAAAGGCUGGUUGAACAAUAGCCACGGCCACGAUACCAGAAAAAAAGAAAAGAGAGUGCCCCCGCGGAGCAAAGCUGCUUCUUAUUCGACGGCAGAUGGGCCAUUGGCAUGAGUUCCUUGCGUUGUGAAAAAGCAAACAAUGGGGUAGAUUUGAGUGGCAAGAGUUGUUGCUGUAACACUCGGUAAUAGUU
rnacentral:lncRNA from 1 species